rnacentral:rRNA from 1 species
UACGUAGGGGGCAAGCGUUGUCCGGAUUUAUUGGGCGUAAAGGGCGCGUAGGCGGCUCAUGAAGGCUGUGGUGAAAGUCCGGGGCUCAACCUCGGAUCGGCCGUGGCGACUCGUGGGCUGGAGCACUGUAGAGGCGGGUGGAAUUCCGGGUGUAGCGGUGGAAUGCGUAGAGAUCCGGAAGAACACCAGUGGCGAAGGCGGCCCGCUGGGCAGUGGCUGACGCUGAGGCGCGACAGCGUGGGGAGCAAACAGG